rnacentral:rRNA from 1 species
AUUAAACGCCGGCGGCAUGCCUUACACAUGCAAGUCGAACGGUAGCGCGGGGCAACCUGGCGACGAGUGGCGAACGGGUGAGUAAAGCAUCGGAACGUGCCCUGGAAUGGGGGAUAACGUAGCGAAAGUUACGCUAAUACCGCAUAUUCUGUGAGCAGGAAAGCAGGGGAUCGCAAGACCUUGCGUUCUGGGAGCGGCCGAUGUCGGAUUAGCUAGUUGGUGGGGUAAAAGCCUACCAAGGCGACGAUCCGUAGCGGGUCUGAGAGGAUGAUCCGCCACACUGGGACUGAGACACGGCCCAGACUCCUACGGGAGGCAGCAGUGGGGAAUUUUGGGACAAUGGGCGGAAGCCUGAUCCAGCCAUGCCGCGUGAGUGAAGAAGGCC